GACGAUGGGAUAUGUUGUCUUUUAAU
rnacentral:piRNA from 1 species